CUUGCGUUGAAAAGUUGAAAUCCCAGAGAGGUAAAAUAAACCUCUAGUAUAUCUAUGUGUCUUAAGAUUCAAUCUCGGAAGAUAGGCUACAGAUAUCUGUGUUUUCAUCAUUUGAAGCCUUAGAGUAUUGAAAAAUACCAGAUUCUACGGACCCUGGACCCAGUUUUAAAUGGUAGAAAAAAACUUGGAGACAUCAAUUCAAUUGAAAAGCAUUAGAGGAUUACUAUGGCCUCUUCCUCUUACGCGUCUACAGAGGAGACGACAAAUGCCUGUAGAGCCUGUCGACUUCUCCUUGGUCCGUGUACAGAUCAAAUUAGGGAUGUUUUAGUUCACCAUGUACCACCAUCAACAUUUCCACAAGUCAUUAAACAAAAGAGGAGUAAUCUUCCCCGUCUGACAGCUCAACAGAUGAAUCUUAUUUUACCCAGAGGUAGUAGUUAUACAGGAAACUAUGGUGAUAUGGAUUUUUCCUUAUUGUACAUACUACUGAGGAAUAUUUGUGGUAUACCACCACACAGCAAUGGCUGGGGAUUUGAUCCAGACCCUACAGAUCGAUCUCUCUCUCUCUGCCAAUAUUGAGAGAAUACGUAUUGCCAGAAAUCAGUGUGUACAUUCUUCUAGUCCUUUCCUCUCCAAUGCCGAUUUCAACACAGUCUGGUCCACUGUCAGAUCUGCAGUUGUGGAAAUUGAUUCUUUCCUUGGCAAUGGGAACAAAUUUGAAAGAGCAGUGGACUUUCUGAGACAGGAGACAAUGGACCCUGUCCGUGACCUCCAUUACAUAGAAGAACUAAGGAAACAGGCUGAAGAAGAUGAAGAAACUAGAGAACUGGUUCAAGGCCUGAA